CCAAGUUGCGAACACAUUUUCCCUGUCAAAUGUUCCAUUAUUUUUCCUAAUAAACCUUUAAUUCUCGUGUUCUAAAACCAUUUUCCAGAAACAUUUUUCGGGAAAUCACCUUCCUCUCACUCCUCUACCUCUCUCCCCGAUUCACCUCCCGUUCCCCUCCCAUUCAAUUUUCUCUCUCCUCUGUGUCACCAUGCCAGGACGGAUGUAUCCCCGCCUCCCCUUCUGGCUGGUCGCCGCUGAUGCAGGUGUUGUUGUUGGUGUUGCUUCGCUCUCGUUCUCGUUCCCAGUACCGCCGACGAUGGUGGUCUCGAAUUUCCGUCUUCAACAACCCAUCACUCAAUUAGUGGUGGUGCGUCGGCCUCCUCCACCGCCAGCGUUGUCCUAUUUCCGACGAUUCUGCCUUGGUUGUUGAUUGAUGUUUCCAUGCCUCAACUCCUCACCUCUCCUACAUCACAUCUCUGCUUCGUAGACUCCUCCUCGACGGAGGCACCCCGUUGUCUCGUUGGUGCGGUCACUGCUGAUGUUGAAAUUUUUGUUGUCGUUCAUUGUUGUUACUGCUGCUGAUGUUGUUAUUGUUGUUGUUGUUGGCUCUAGUUGUUGGACUCUUGUGUUGCUACUUCUCUGCCUCUUGUUUUUUCUCAAGGAAAUGGGUGAGGACCAAAAGUUGUACCAGAGCCGGUCUUGAAAUGGUAGAAGAUGGAGGCAGAAUGGGAAUAUAGCGGACUAUUGAUGAUAUGAGUGGGCACCUCCUCCCUCCAGUGAUUUUUCUUGUAGUUGAUGAUAUUGCCUCUGCGGGCUUGGAUGUGUCUCAUCUGAGCCUGAAUUGCAGAACUGGGCUGAUGUGCUAAUGUGCUUGUGUUGUGCUGCUCCUGGUGCUCUGUUGCUGUUCUGAUGUCAUUUUGGUACUGAUGUUCUAUUCUGCUUUGGUCUGCCCCUACCUGCACUUUGUUGUGUGAUCUGUAGUCUGUUUUGCACAUUAUUGUUGUUCAAGCCGGUGGCCGCGUAUCUGAAGAUCAUACAGCAGGGUGCAAUCAGUUUGUACAAAGCUAUUUUAGAUCAAUGUUGUCUUGUUUUGGCUUUGCUAGUUUUUUUCCCUUUUUUUUGGGUAUGGCCCGUAUGGGUUGUAUAGUUUGGUUGGAUAGCUUAUUUGUUUUGUAGUUUUUGGCUUCAAAGUUGUUAAGACGCCUAGUGUAUUUUAUUUGGUUGAGCUUUUACAAAAAUUAUUUCACAUUUGGUUAAUAAAAGUUUACUAUUUUCCAAAAUGAUCAGGCUUGUAAAUGUACAAAUAAUAAGCUAUAUUAUUUGCAGUGCCUCUAAAAACCUUUCA